rnacentral:rRNA from 1 species
GGCCUACCAUGGUUUUAACGGGUAACGGGGAAUUAGGGUUCGAUUCCGGAGAGGGAGCCUGAGAAACGGCUACCACAUCCAAGGAAGGCAGCAGGCGCGCAAAUUACCCAAUCCCGACACGGGGAGGUAGUGACAAUAAAUAACAAUACAGGGCCCUCACGGGUCUUGUAAUUGGAAUGAGUACAAUUUAAAUCUCUUAACGAGGAACAAUUGGAGGGCAAGUCUGGUGCCAGCAGCCGCGGUAAUUCCAGCUCCAAUAGCGUAUAUUAAAGUUGUUGCAGUUAAAAAGCUCGUAGUUGAAUUUUGGGUCUGGCCGGGCGGUCCACCUUCCGGUGAGCACUGUUCCGAUGCCGGGCCUAUCCUUCUGGUGAGACGGCAUGCCCUUCGCUGGGUGUGUCGGGGAACCAGGACCAUUACCUUGAAAAAAUUAGAGUGUUCAAAGCAGGCAUUUGCUCGAAUACAUUAGCAUGGAAUAAUGAAAUAGGACGCGUGGUACUAUUUUGUUGGUUUCUAGGACCGCCGUAAUGAUUAAUAGGGAUAGUUGGGGGCAUUAGUAUUCAAUUGUCAGAGGUGAAAUUCUUGGAUUUAUUGAAGACUAACUUCUGCGAAAGCAUUUGCCAAGGAUGUUUUCAUUAAUCAAGAACGAAAGUUAGGGGAUCGAAGACGAUCAGAUACCGUCGUAGUCUUACCAUAAACUAUGCCGACUAGGAAUCGGGCGAUGUUAUUUUAACGACUCGCCCGGCGCCUUAUGGGAAACCAAAGUGUUUGGGUUC